AGGGAGAAGUUGAGCUCAAGAUUGUGAUUCCUGAGAGGAGGAAAAACACAUGAGAGUGUUACAUAUAGCAACCUGGAAGUCUCAGUAGGUCUGGUGCCCUGCGUAAAACUCAGUGCUGGUGUUCACAAGCAGAUCACUCACUGGAUCCAGACUGACACAGUUCACAAGUAUACCUGAUGGGUCAGACCUAAAGCACAUCUGGAACCGAAGCUGUAAGGGAGUCCAGCAAAUGCGGUAUUUAACUUUGUAGCCUCUGCAACACAGAAAGACACACUAAAAGAAGAAUCGAAUGAAUAUUGGGGUACCAAUUCACUAUAUUCACUUUCCUGGGGAUAGUAAUGAGAAAGACUCCGUGGGGGAAUAUUCCUCCAGAAACUUGUUUGGAAUAAUGAGUCUAACUAGGACAACAAGGAAAAGCUUCCAGGGGAGAGAUUGAAAAACACUAUUUUCCUGAGAAAUACAGCAUGGAAAACCUCCACUGGGGAGCCUGUGGGCUUUAUUUGCCUAGAAUAAAACCAUACAUAUACAUUUCAAAGUGCAUUUUUCCAUAUAAUUUA